rnacentral:rRNA from 1 species
GGAGUCUGGGCCGUGUCUCAGUCCCAAUGUGGCCGAUCAACCUCUCAGUCCGGCUACCGAUCGCGGUCUUGGUGAGCCGUUACCUCACCAACUAACUAAUCGGACGCGAGUCCAUCUCCGAGCGAUAAAAUCUUUGGUAUCAAAGUCAUGCGGCUUCGAUACGUUAUGCGGUAUUAGCGUUCUUUUCAGAACGUUAUUCCCCUCUCAGAGGCAGGUUACUCACGCGUUACUCACCCGUCCGCCACUAAGCCAAAAAGCAAGCUUUCUGACUCCGUUCGACUUGCAUGUGUUAGGCACGCCGCCAGCGUCGUCUCG